UUAGUCUUAACCACCGAUACUUAACACACAAACGUAUCCGCCAGAGAACUACAAGUGAAAAACUUAAAACUCAAAGGAUUUGGCGGUACUCCACCCAAACUAGAGGAGCCUGUCCUAUAAUCGAUACCCCCCGAUCAACCUAACCACCCCUUGCCAACCAGCCUAUAUACCGCCGUCGCCAGCUUAUCCCGUGAGAAUUUUAAAAUAAGCACAACAGUCUAACCACUAAAACGUCAGGUCAAGGCGUAGCUAACGGGGUGGAAGUGAUGAGCUACACUCUCUACCCAAGAAAAAACGAAUGGCAUCAUGAAAUGUGAAGCCGGAAGGCGGAUUUAGCAGUAAACUAAGAAAGAAUACUAAAUU
rnacentral:rRNA from 1 species